GGAAUUUUGGACAAUGGGCGAAAGCCUGAUCCAGCAAUGCCGCGUGCAGGACGAAGGCCUUCGGGUUGUAAACUGCUUUUGUACAGAACGAAAAGCUUUGGGUUAAUACCCUGGAGCCAUGACGGUACUGUAAGAAUAAGCACCGGCUAACUACGUGCCAGCAGCCGCGGUAAUACGUAGGGUGCAAGCGUUAAUCGGAAUUACUGGGCGUAAAGCGUGCGCAGGCGGCUAUGCAAGACUGAUGUGAAAUCCCCGGGCUCAACCUGGGAACUGCAUUAGUGACUGCAUAGCUGGAGUGCGGCAGAGGGGGAUGGAAUUCCGCGUGUAGCAGUGAAAUGCGUAGAUAUGCGGAGGAACACCGAUGGCGAAGGCAAUCCCCUGGGCCUGCACUGACGCUCAUGCACGAAAGCGUGGGGAGCAAACAGGAUUAGAUACCCCAG
rnacentral:rRNA from 1 species